rnacentral:rRNA from 1 species
CAAUAGCCUAAGCGGCUGAACCAGCAACUUGGAGGAAUGUACAGGGAAAACUGGUAAAAUGUGAUGUACCUGAUAGUAUUAGUGACAAUAUGAAAUUAACUAAGUUAAUUAAAAUUCAAAGUAGAUAUGUGAUUAUGACAAUAUUUGCUUAUUUCUUGACCAAGUCACGUGCCAGCAGUCGCGGUAAUACGUGGAAGAUAAGUGUUAUUCAUCUUUAAUAGGUUUAAAGGGUACCUAGACGGUUAAUUAAGCAUAUAAGUGUACUAAUUAUUAACUAGAGUUUAAUGUAAGAAGGAUUGAGUACGGUGAGUGAAGAGAUAGAAUUCUGUUAUACCACUUAGGAACUGGUAAAGGCGAAGGCAACCUUUUAUGUAAAAACUGACGUUGAGGGACGAAGGCUCGUAUUAAGUAUUAGGAUUAGAGACCCUAGUAUUGUGGGCAGACAAUGAUGAGUGUCAUAUGCAAGAAAAAUUUUGUGUAUAAAUGAAAGUGUAAGCAUUCCACCUCAAGAGUAACAUGGCAACAUGGGAACUGAAAUCAUUAGACCGUUUCUGAAACUCGUAGUGAAGUAUGUUGUUUAAUUUGAUAAUCCUCAAAUAACCUUACCACAAUUUGUAUUACUAGUAUGUUUUUCUAUUAGUAACAAGCGUUGCACGGCUGUCUUCAGUCAAUGUUGUGAAACUUUGGUUAGAUCCAUUAAAUUGACGUAAACCCUUGCUUUAUUUGUUAUAAAGCAGUUCGCCGCUAUAUUGGUAAUGAUAUAAGGACCAAGACAAGUCUUCUACUUUUA